rnacentral:misc_RNA from 1 species
CUCUGAUUUUGCAAUUAGAAGACAUACAUUUUAUGAUGAUCUGUACUUGGCUUUGUUGGUCAGUUUUAUCAAUCAUAUCUUGAAGAAUAAUUAAGUAAGAAGUGUAGUUUGAGAAGUUCGAUAUUUGUAUAAGAUAGUGUUUGUAUACUAGUGAAGCUAUAGAUACCAGUUCCUUGUCAUGGCAAAUUGUAUUUCUGAAAAACCAGUGUUCCAUGAAAAGAACAUUGAGGGCAUUCUGACAAUAAAAUUUGCCAUGACAAGGAACUGGUAUCUAUAGCUUCACUAGUAUACAAACACUAUCUUAUACAAAUAUCGAACUUCUCAAACUACACUUCUUACUUAAUUAUUCUUCAAGAUAUGAUUGAUAAAACUAACCAACAAAGCCAAGUACAGAUCAUCAUAAAAU